GCAAAAUCGAAUAAAAAAAUAGUGCAGGAGUUAUUUCCCCUAUCUAGAUCAGAUUGUGUAAUGGCGGGCGACUUUUGACGUUGCAGACACAGUAACAAAUGUAGCAAUAGGUCACCUGACAAUAACAAGGACUGAGGUUACAGUAUGCCAUUCAAGCUGUGAUGAAAUAUAAAGUAAUGGUUUGAAUUUGGAGAGCUUCAUUACAUGUAUUAUAGACAGGGAUGAAGACCGGCAGUCAGACACCAGUUAAAAGUUACUUAUAACUCAUCAUGGCCAUUAUGGAAGAUCUGAUUAAAAUUUGUUUAGAAAGCCACCAAAUAUGUCCAUGAAAAAUAGAAAAAUGACAGCAAUUCUACAUAAUGCACCGUACUAAGUAGAAGCAUUGACUGUUUCAAAACCAAAUCUGCAAUAUCUAACCAAGACGAGUGAGAGAUCUACAGAUAGACAUAUGAUAUUCAGUUGAACUGUAAACAUGGUAAAGGGGAAUUUUGAAAUAUUCAUUUAUAAGACUUC